rnacentral:rRNA from 1 species
UACAUAGGGGGCAAGCGUUAUCCGGAAUUAUUGGGUGUAAAGGGUGCGUAGACGGAGAAACAAGUUGGUUGUGAAAUCCCUCGGCUCAACCGAGGAACUGCAACCAAAACUAUUUCCCUUGAGUGUCGGAGAGGAAAGUGGAAUUCCUAGUGUAGCGGUGAAAUGCGUAGAUAUUAGGAGGAACACCAGUGGCGAAGGCGACUUUCUGGACGAUAACUGACGUUGAGGCGCGAAAGCGUGGGGAGCAAACAGG